GUGGGUGUAGCUCAGUUGGUAGAGCACUAGGUUGUGGCCCUAGUGGCCGAGGGUUCAAGUCCCUUCACUCACCCCA
rnacentral:tRNA from 1 species